UCAGCUGGUUAGAGCAGCGGAAUCAUAAUCCGCGUGUCCGGGGUUCAAGUCCCUGCACCG
rnacentral:tRNA from 1 species